rnacentral:rRNA from 1 species
UACGUAGGUGACGAGCGUUGUCCGGAUUUACUGGGCGUAAAGAGCGCGCAGGCGGUCGUUCAAGUCGAGUGUGAAAGCCCCCGGCUCAACUGGGGAGGGUCACUCGAUACUGAUCGACUCGAAGGCAGGAGAGGGAUGCGGAAUUCCAGGUGUAGCGGUGAAAUGCGUAGAUAUCUGGAGGAACACCGGUGGCGAAGGCGGCAUCCGGGACCGGUAUUGACGCUGAGGAGCGAAAGCCAGGGGAGCAAACGGG